UAUAGAACAUUCUUUCCGCUCGCCUGUUUAAUGUGUACAGCGCGCCCCCACCGUGUCUGUCACACACUCAGACAACGUGAAUACAGAAACCGGUUGUCUUAAAGGCACGAAGAAACACCUGAACGAGCAGAGAUGAGCUGCUGGCCGGUAUCCGACUCUGGUCUCACUCUGAGCACUUCAUUGGUUCUGCUGACAUCCGCUACCAUACCGCACUGAUGACAUCUUAUUUAAGCGCGCAGGCAGACAAGACAAGAAACCUGUACCAUCAGAAUCAUGAAUGUCUGUUCCUGCAUGGAUGAUCAAUAAAUCCACGGCCUCACAGAUGCAAGAAUGAAAAAAAGAGAGAAGAUCCACAUCUCGCGACCAGAUAAGGCCAUGAGAGGCAAUCCAGUGAAAUUCUGCCCUUUGUAGGAAAAAGGAGCCGCGGCUGUCAGACGCAGAGUCCCUGAGCGCACACCGAGAGCCUGUGCAGAGAACACAAUCCGCUGAAGGAAAAAAAGGCAUUUUCAACACUGACAUUUACGUGGAUUAAUAAUAAAUAUCUCAUUAAAUGAAAAAACAUCUCUUUAGUGGCCUUGUGUUGACAAAUGAAUCUUUUGUCAACAUUUUCCAUGCUUCACACAUCACACUGUGUGAACUGCUGAACUGUGCUGUAUAACAGGUACUGAUAUGAUAUCGUACCGCUGUAAUUUUAACCGUACUCAUGUUAUUUUUAAUAUUUAAGUGGGUGUGUCUGUUUUUACCUUAAAUGUGGGCCGUGGGGCUUUCUUUGUGAGUUUUGUUAGCUGUAUGCAUAUUGAUAAUGUCACAUGUAGAGCACCACCUUUAAACUUUUUAAAGAAGAAAUACAUUCAGAAUGAUUAAAUAAGAGCACUUCAGUGGCACAAAAGAAUAAUAAAAAAAAACUAAACAGACUUAUAAGAUAUGACAUCACAGACCAAAAGAACACAGUUUUCAUGAAUGCCACUUUUUCGUUCCCACUGCAGACAUGGGCGGGGACCCUUUUCUUUCUCUCUCAUUCUUUCCCCCAUCCUCAGCAAAACUCUGUGUAGUGUGACUGUGAUCUUUUCUAGCCCGUUCAAUACAAUGGAAACGGCAUGGUCUCUUUCCGCCAACAUCCAGCAGUGCGUUCACUGGCCACCCGUGUCCACCAGUCUGAGAGCUGCCAUGUGCUUUCUCUGAUAAUGUUUAGAGUGAGCAGCUGGUCCUAGAUCAGAGCGCCACAUCACACCACAAGACGUUUCAUCACGAGAGACCACAAAGAAUGUGAGUCAGAACAUCAAAGGCUUGUCAGCUUUUAGAGGACAAUGUCAUUUUUUUCCUAUAAAACAAUUGUGGCCCCCCCGUCGCACGGAUGUGAGGCUGAGAAACAAAGUGAAAUCUGUGAACAGCACAAGUCGAUAAGGGGGCUUUGGGCUGACCUGAUCAUGUGUGACCCCCUGUCGGGCGCAUCAGUGGUUCCCAUGGCGACCGAGUGCCUGUGAGUUGACUUCUGCUUCCACAGUCAAUGGCUCUCUCUCUCUCUCUCGCUCGCUCUCUGCCAUGUCAUAUCUUAAAUGGAGAUGACUAAUUACUAGAGUUAAUUAAUUUAAUGUGUGUUUGCAUGCAUAUGAGGUCUUUGCCUUACUUGGAGUUUAAGUGAUUGCAUUUUUGUGAGUGUGUGACAAAGAUAGAGAGUGUGUGUGUGUGUGUGUGUGUGUGUGUGUGUGUGUGCUUGCAAAUGCAGACUUGGCUAAUCCCUGAUCGUGAGAUGGCAGAGAAUAUGUUGGAUUUCUUAAGGCUGCCUUCGCUUCAUCUCAAUAAAUAAUGCCAAAACUCUCUCUUGCACACACACACACACACACACAGACAGAGAGAGAGAGUUUGUGACAUCAGUUGCCCAUUUACAUUCUGUUUCCAGUAUGAACAAAAUGUCAUUUUCUGGUCAUAAAUGUCCCAUGUCUCCAUCACUCAUAAACAUGCAGGUACAUUCUCUUGAUAUUCGGCAGCAGACAAAGCCACUGCUUUUAGCCCGAAUGGAAAUAUAUGUUAAUGUGUGCAUACAAUCAAGUGAAAAAGAGAUAAAAUGAGAGCAAGAGAGAGAGAGAGAGAGCAAGUCUGAAAAUAUGGAUUGCUUAAUGUGUAUGCAUUGCAAUUAGAAGAGAGGGAACAAAAAUGACAGAGAGAAAGAGAGAGGAAGUUGUGAAACCCGCUCCCGCCUUCUCUCAUUAACAUCAAUUCGUGCAUAAAAUCUCCAUGUGAACAAAAGGGAUGAGCAGUGGCAGAAGUGGUGGAUGUCACAAAGCGUGAAAUUUCCAGUAAAUCCCAUAAAGCAUUUAUUUAGCUCUUCUUCCCCUCAGAAUACAUUACAUCUUGUCGCUGUUUCAGCUGGUCCACACACUGGAAUUUUGCAUUGCCUGUAUCAUCUGACCUUCCCAAGAAAGGCUCCAAAAUGUUCCAGCUUUAUCACAUUACACAUGCCUUGAAGUCCCUUGAUUGGAUACUAGUAAAUGUUAAAAUUGAUUUAGCUUUGCUGGUGUUCAGAUCCCAUAAUGUGUUUGCAGCUCAGCCCAUAUCUAAUAAGCUAGUGAAGUUUGUUACAAACAGGUCUCUGUGGUCUUCUAAACAUGUUCUAACAGGCAGAACUAGCAUUUAUGAGGAUGUACAAUCCUCAGCUAUGGAACAGCCUGCAGAAGACAUCAGGCUCUCUGAGGAGUUGUUCACAGAUGAUGCGUUAUGGCAAAAAAAAAAAAAAAAAGACGUAGUGCACUAAAACAAACUAAAAAA